UAUCUCUGUAGAGUCUGCAUAUCAAUAAGCGGAGGAAAAGAAACUAACAAGGAUUCCCUCAGUAACGGCGAGUGAAGCGGGAAGAGCUCAAAUUUGAAAUCUUAAAGGGUUCUACCUUGACGAAUUGUAGUUUAAAGAAGUGUUUUCUGUUGAGGUUUUGGUAAAAGUUCUUUGGAAUAGGACAUCAUAGAGGGUGAGAAUCCCGUAUUUGACCAUUUACUUUCAGCUUUGUGAUACACUUUCAAAGAGUCGGAUUGUUUGGGAAUGCAGUCCAAAAUGGGUGGUAAAUUUCAUCUAAAGCUAAAUACAUUGGCGAGAGACCGAUAGCGAACAAGUACCGUGAGGGAAAGAUGAAAAGAACUUUGAAAAGAGAGUUAAACAGUACGUGAAAUUGUCAAAAGGGAAGCGUUUGACACCAGUGUUGUUUUCUCGAAAAUCAAUUAAGAAUGGCAUGAUUUUGUGUUGUAUUGACCUUUAUCAGCUUUCUUCACUCUUUUCGAUGUCUUUUUUAAUGCACUUUUCGGUUAACAAGUCAACAUCAAUUUCUUUUGUUGUAAAAGAGUCAUUCGGAAGGUGGCUUUCUUUUCGGAGAAAGUGUUUAUAGCCCUUAUGCCUCUACAAUCGGAGAGAUUGAGGUCUGCAGCGUAGAUCCUUCGGGGUUAGAUACAUUUGUGCUAAGUUAUAGCUUUUCAUAGACAACUUGUUGACUAUGUUUAGUCUUGUAGCUUACUCGCUUAUGCUAUUUUACCUACGCUUAGGAUGUUGAAGAUGUAGCACAUCA
rnacentral:rRNA from 1 species